GACGAACGCUGGCGGCGUGCUUAACACAUGCAAGUCGAACGAUGAACCCGGAGCUUGCUCUGUGGGAUUAGUGGCGAACGGGUGAGUAACACGUGAGUAACCUGCCCUGGACUCUGGGAUAAGCGUUGGAAACGACGUCUAAUACCGGAUAGGACCUUGGAUCGCAUGAUCUGGGGUGGAAAGUUUUUUCGGUCUGGGAUGGACUCGCGGCCUAUCAGCUUGUUGGUGAGGUAAUGGCUCACCAAGGCGUCGACGGGUAGCCGGCCUGAGAGGGUGACCGGCCACACUGGGACUGAGACACGGACCAGACUCCUACGGGAGGCAGCAGUGGGGAAUAUUGCACAAUGGGCGAAAGCCUGAUGCAGCAACGCCGCGUGCGGGAUGACGGCCGUCGGGUUGUAAACCGCUUUUAGUAGGGAAGAAGGGCUUCGGCUUGACGGUACCUGCAGAAAAAGGACCGGCUAACUACGUG
rnacentral:rRNA from 1 species